GGGGAUGUGGCUCAAGCGGUAGCGCGCUCGCCUAGCAUGCAUGUGGCCUGGGUUCAAUCCUCAGCAGCACCA
rnacentral:tRNA from 1 species